rnacentral:rRNA from 1 species
AUUGAACGCUGGCGGCAGGCCUAACACAUGCAAGUCGAGCGGAUGAAGGGAGCUCGCUCCUGGAUUCAGCGGCGGACGGGUGAGUAAUGCCUAGGAAUCUGCCUGGUAGUGGGGGCUAACGUCCGGAAACGGGCGCUAAUACCGCAUACGUCCUGAGGGUGAAAGUGGGGGAUCUUCGGACCUCACGCUAUUAGAUGAGCCUAGGUCGGAUUAGCUAGUUGGUGGGGUAAAGGCCUACCAAGGCGACGAUCCGUAACUGAUCUGAGAGGAUGAUCAGUCACACUGGAACUGAGACACGGUCCAGACUCCUACGGGAGGCAGCAGUGGGGAAUAUUGGACAAUGGGCGAAAGCCUGAUCCAGCCAUGCCGCGUGUGUGAAGAAGGUCUUCGGAUUGUAAAGCACUUUAAGUUGGGAGGAAGGGCAGUAAGUGAAUACCUGGCUGUUUUGACGUUACCAACAGAAUAAGCACCGGCUAACUUCGUG